CUGGAUGGAUGUGGCCGGACCUUCACGUGCAGCUCUUUUUCUUUUUUAAAAUGUUUGUUCAUAAUUUUAAUUUAUAACAAAUAAACAUUUGAACAAAGAAAUUAAAACAAUUCUCACAUAUCAAACUUCGACUUUCCUCCUCCUCUUUCAACAGUUCGAUGAGUUUACCUUUUCUUUCCCCUUUCGCAUAUCCCAAUUAACUCUAUUCAUUCUUUUCCUCAUCUAUUUCAUAUGUUUUAGAAACUGCAAGUUUUUACAGGAAUCCUGCUAAUGUCUUAAUUUGUUUACAAUUUGUUUGUAAAUAUUCAAUAAACGAUUUCCAUUCGUGCGGCUCUUUUAUCCUCCAGCUUUUGGGGACAGACUCUUAAGGGACGAAGAGAGACCAAAGGAGCAAACUUACGGGAGCAUACAGAGCUACCCGUUUGUUUUUUUCACAUAUGACACAGUGGUUGGAGUGCUGAACUAGGACCCGGGAGAGACCAAGGUUCAAACCCUCACUCGGCCGGGGAGCUGACUGGGGGCCAGUCACCGCCUCUCUCAGCCUGACCUGCUUCGCAGGGUUGCUGUUUUGGUGAUUAAACAAUGGGGGGGGGGAACUAUGGGAGCAGCCUUGAGCUCCAUGGAGAAAAAAGUGGUAUAUAAAGGUAAAUUUUAAAAAAGGACUCACUUCCCAUGAAAACACAUCAAAAUGAUGGACAAUAUAAAUCAUGAGACUCAUAGAACUGUAGAGCUGAAAGGGUCAUCUAGUCAAACCCCCAGCAAGGCAGGAAUCAAAUCUAAAGGAAGUUCAGGAAGGCAUGAGCUUAGAAGGCACACAGGGUGGGCCCAGUUUAUGGAAGACGACAUCUGCCAGAGGCCCCUUUCUGUGAUCAGCCGGGGAUAUAAGGCGUGAAACAAUCUCCCAGCGCCCCUGGGCUUGUCCACACUUACAAAGCACAGGUCUUUCCCUUUGCCCUGCUCCUUUCCCAUGGAAACCCCUCUGUUUAGUGCUAAAGCAGAGCAAAUGUCAAUCCCGAGAAAAAAAGGAUUUCCCUGGGGAAAAGCAGGACAGGAGGAAGUGUGGAUAAGCCCAGUGAGUGAGUGUUCACCAGGACUAGCACCUUGAACGUAGCCCCAUAACAAACUGGCAGUCAAUGUAACCAUUUCAGCAACAGGAUAGUACUCUGGUGGGGACCUCCUGUCCCAGUGAGCAGCUUUUGCAGCAAGAGGCUGGCCAGGGAGCCUUGAGGAGGAUGCUGAGCAGCUAGAGCUGAGCUGCCUGCCCCCAUCUUGGGGGAGUGAAGAAUGAAGAGAGAGGCAGGCAUACAAAGGGGGGGGGCAGGAGGAGGCCACAUACCAGCUGGUGAAACUGAAGCACAUUCUUUACCACUUUGAAUGCUGACAGAUGAGGGCCAGAGAGAUACAGAUGGCUGUUGCUGGCGAACUUUGUUCCCCAGGGAAGAAGAGAAGGGAGCAAAAAGGCACCAUGGAAGCUGGUGGGUUGGGGAAAAUGGGGGUGGGGAGGACUCAGGGAAUCUGUGGGGCAGGAAGGCGUUUGCCAUGGAGCUGCACAGCAGGCAGGGCUUGCCCAGCAAGGCCGGAUUGUCAGGAGGGGGCUGUGUGGCAGGAGUCACCUUGACCUCUUGGCCUGGACCCUGUUGCCACCAUCUCUGCUCCUGGACGUGAGCUGGGGCCAGAGAGGGGGCAAGAACAACCCUCCUUGUGAGAAACUAAGAACUUCCUCCUGGAUCAGGCCUAAGGGGGCCCAUCCAGUUCAGCCUCUUGCUCUCACAGUGGAAUCUAGACACAGUGCCUUUGGAGCUGGAGGAUUCAUAAGAACAUCCGAAGAGCAUGCUGGAUCAGGCCAAUGGCCCAUCUAGUCCAGCUUCCUGUUCUCACAGUGGCUGACCAGAUGCUUCUUAGGAAAGCCCACAAGCAGAAUCCAAGCACAAGAGCAUUUUCUCCCCUGCUGUGGUUUCCAGCAACUAGCACUCAGAAACACUUCUGCCUCCAGCAGUGAGGGGCAGAGCCCAGUCAUUGGCUGUGACUUUAAAAACUUGAGUAGGAGCUUGGUUUUUUCCUCCCUCUUCCUAGUCCCUUCUUCCUUGUGUGUCAUGUCUUUCUGAGCUGAGGGGCAGCGAUUGUCUUGGAAAUGAUUUUUGUAGGCCUCCCAGAGAGCCAUUGUGGCUUAAUGGGUGAGGAAUUCAUGCUGUAAACAGGUAAAUUAUCUUAACAUGCACUGAUUGUAUGUGGGCCACUCUGGGAGCUUCUUUGGCUGAAGCGCAAAUGCUCUGAAUAAAUAAAAACAGUCUGCCUGCUCCUCCAUAUCACAAGGGAACAAUCCAGCUCCCGCUGGUCUGAGGGGAGGAGGCUAGAUGGCAGCAGGAGGAGCUUUCUGUACCUGGACCCGGACCCAAAAUGCACGAAGGAUGAGGUUUCCUGGAAACAAUGAGCCCCAAGGCCGCCCCCACCUUUUUUGGUCACAAGGAGCCACUGGAGCAAAUGUAAGCCUCUUUCAUGGGCCAGGACAGACGGUUGGGGAUUGUUAAAUGAAGCCGUUGGGGCACACUUAAUCUAAUUUGCAAGUGGUGCUGGUGGGUGUGCAUGUGUCUGCAGCAGGAUUGUGGGAUGCGUGAGGAAACAGUAAACACAGCACUGCGCAAUUGGGCACGGGGUGCGGACCACAACACAACCGCACUUAAGAAGUGCCGCACCUGACAGUCCUUCUCCUGAUCUACAAAAGUGGUUCUGAAAACAGGAGGGAGCUUAAAAACGGCACAAAGCCGCCCUCAAUGCACAAUCGAUGAAUCCGUGACAUUUCAACCUAGGGGAACGAGAAGUCUGCGGUCCUGAAGUUCAAGGUGCAAAGUGGGCCAUUUGUAACCCUCAGUUUGGCAUUUCCAGUUUUGACGUCACAGAGAAACAUGUGCUUUGCAGCCUGAGAGAUUCUAAUGAGGUGACUCCCAAGUUUUAAAUGUCCUUAUUUUAGCUUAGACGCACAAAAUCCACAUAGCAAGAACAGUAAGCACACAAACCUGAAGGGGCAGGAGUAAAAUGGAGCAUGGUCCAGGGAGUCAUAAUUCACUGUGUAGCUGCAUCUCGCUAACACAACUUCUUUUUUGUUUUCAUUGCUGCUCACAUCAAGUAAUACUGAAAGGAGGGAGAGAUCUAACCCAGAACAGCCACCUGUGGGAGUGGACCUUGAUGGGAGAAUCUGCCUGAUUUGCACUUUCUGAAACAACUCAAGACCGAAACACAGACACCCUUCAAAAUUUGCAUGCAGUUCUCCAGUCAAGUAAUGUGUGAAAAAGUGCAUGUGCACAUGUGAAGCAGGAAGAACGACAUACAAAGAUGCAUGACAUCAGGCGGAAUAGCCCUGCAUAGAUGAGUAUGGGAAAGGCAAGAUUGUGGUGGGCAUGGGGAGGAAUUUGCACAAAAGUGAUGCUGAAUUUUCAUGAGGGCUCAUCCUUUUAAAAAACCCUCAGUCUUAUGUGGAGAUGUGGGGAAAUGAGAGAAAGCAAAAUGCCCUUCUGUACUUCCAGGGGAUCCUUGGCUGUGGCCUCCCUCCGAACCGAACCAUCC
rnacentral:lncRNA from 1 species